rnacentral:rRNA from 1 species
CGUAGGUGGCAAGCGUUGUCCGGAUUUAUUGGGUUUAAAGGGUGCGUAGGCGGUCUUAUAAGUCAGUGCUGAAAUAUCCCGGCUUAACCGGGAGGGUGGCAUUGAUACUGUAGGACUUGAGUAAAGUUGAGGUUGGCGGAAUUGACGGUGUAGCGGUGAAAUGCUUAGAUAUCGUCAAGAACACCGAUAGUGUAGACAGCUAACUAAGCUUUAACUGACGCUGAGGCACGAAAGUGUGGGGAUCAAACAGGAUUAGAUACCCUGGUAGUCCACACUGUAAACGUUGAAGACUCGCUGUUGGCGAUACACAGUCAGCGGCUGAGAGAAAUCGUUAAGUCUUCCACCUGGGGAUACGCCGGCAACGGUG